UUAGUGCAACACUGGAACCAUAUAUGGAACCACUCACAUAUUACUGAGCUUAGUCGUAAGCUCAGUAAUAUGUGAGUGGUUCCAUAUAUAGAGUUUAUAUUGUUUUUAAUAUUUUUGU